GAGGAGGACAACCAUGGUGGCCACUGUCACUGCUUCCUAUUUUCUCCUAACCGCUGACUAUGGCCCUGAACCCAACGUUCUCGAUCCUAUUGAUGCAUGAUUAACAUUUGAAAGAUGAUCACCCAAGCAUGAACAAAAGCGCAGAUUAAGAAGGCGAUACUAUCAGCGCAAAAUUCUGUCAAAGAGUUUGUAUUUGGAUCAAAGAAAUAACCUCAAGAGAGUCGAUGCGGAAGUUGGGUUCCAAUAGUGCAAAGGAUCAUCUUUAGUUGAUGGGCAGCACACAUUGUAUAGGACAUCAUGGGUUUAAGGUUUUGUUGAAUAUUUGAAGGGUGUAAUACGAGACCCAGUUCUUUUGACACGUAAUUUGUAUUGUUUCAAGGAUAUCUCGUAUAUUUGGACCUCUUGCUGGAAAAAAUACAUGCUAUGGAUUGAACGUCA